rnacentral:misc_RNA from 1 species
AACGCACAUUGCGCCCCUUGGUAUUCCGGGGGGCAUGCCCGUUCGAGCGUCAUUUCACCACUCAAGCCUCGCUUGGUGUUGGGCCACGGGGGCGACCCGGGCCUCAAAGUUGUCGGCCGGACGGUCCGAAUCUCAGCGUCGUGGCAACUAUUCGCUGGCGAGACGGGCGAUCCGCGCCGUGAAACCUCUAUCACAGGUUGACCUCGGAUCGGGUAGGGAUACCCGCUGAACUUAA